rnacentral:rRNA from 1 species
AGUGAACGCUGGCGGUAGGCCUAACACAUGCAAGUCGAACGGCAGCACAGUAAGAGCUUGCUCUUACGGGUGGCGAGUGGCGGACGGGUGAGGAAUACAUCGGAAUCUACUUUUUCGUGGGGGAUAACGUAGGGAAACUUACGCUAAUACCGCAUACGACCUACGGGUGAAAGCAGGGGAUCUUCGGACCUUGCGCGAUCGAAUGAGCCGAUGUCGGAUUAGCUAGUUGGCGGGGUAAAGGCCCACCAAGGCGACGAUCCGUAGCUGGUCUGAGAGGAUGAUCAGCCACACUGGAACUGAGACACGGUCCAGACUCCUACGGGAGGCAGCAGUGGGGAAUAUUGGACAAUGGGCGCAAGCCUGAUCCAGCCAUACCGCGUGGGUGAAGAAGGCCUUCGGGUUGUAAAGCCCUUUUGUUGGGAAAGAAAAGCAGCAGGUUAAUACCCCGCUGUUCUGACGGUACCCAAAGAGUAAGCACCGGCUAACUUCGUG